rnacentral:rRNA from 1 species
UACGUAGGUGGCAAGCGUUGUCCGGAAUUAUUGGGCGUAAAAAGCUCGUAGGCGGCUUGUCGCGUCGAAUGUGAAAUCUCAGGGCUCAACUCUGACAUUGCAUUCGAUACGGGCAGGCUAGAGUUCGGUAGGGGAGACUGGAAUUCCUGGUGUAGCGGUGAAAUGCGCAGAUAUCAGGAGGAACACCGGUGGCGAAGGCGGGUCUCUGGGCCGAUACUGACGCUGAGGAGCGAAAGCGUGGGGAGCGAACAGG